rnacentral:rRNA from 1 species
ACACCUGUUCCCAUGCCGAACACAGUAGUUAAGCUCCUUAGCGCCGAUGGUAGUUGGACUUACGUUCCGCUAGAGUAGGACGUUGCCAGGC